GAUGAAGAACGUAGCGAAAUGCGAUAAGUAAUGUGAAUUGCAGAAUUCAGUGAAUCAUCGAAUCUUUGAACGCACCUUGCGCCCUUUGGCUAUUCCGAAGGGCAUGCCUGUUUGAGUAUCAUGAACACCUCAACUCUCAUGGUUUGCCAUGAUGAGCUUGGACUUUGGGGGUCUUGCCGGCCUAUGGGUCGGCUCCUCUCAAAUUAAUCAGCUUGCCAGUGUUUGGUGGCAUCACAGGUGUGAUAACUAUCUACGCUUGUGGUUUUCCAUCAGGUAACCUUCAGUGAUGGAGGUUCGCUGGGGCUCAUAAAUGUCUCUCCUCAGUGAGGACAGCUUUUUUGAACGUUUGAUCUCAUAUCAGGUAGGACUACCCGCUGAACUUAAGCAUAUCAAUAAGCGGAGGA
rnacentral:misc_RNA from 1 species